rnacentral:rRNA from 1 species
AGAUUGAACGCUGGCGGCAUGCCUUACACAUGCAAGUCGAACGGCAGCACGGGAGCAAUCCUGGUGGCGAGUGGCGAACGGGUGAGUAAUAUAUCGGAACGUGCCCAGUCGUGGGGGAUAACGCAGCGAAAGCUGUGCUAAUACCGCAUACGAUCUAUGGAUGAAAGCGGGGGAUCGCAAGACCUCGCGCGAUUGGAGCGGCCGAUAUCAGAUUAGCUAGUUGGUGGGGUAAAAGCCUACCAAGGCGACGAUCUGUAGCUGGUUUGAGAGGACGACCAGCCACACUGGACUGAGACGCGGCCCAGACUCCUACGGGAGGCGGCGAGGUGGGGAAUUUUGGACAAGUAGGGGAAACCCUGAAUCCAGCCAUCCCGCGUGUGCGAGUGAAGGUCCUUGGUUGUAAAGCUACGUUU